UACAGAGGUCUCAAGCGUUGUUCGGAUUCAUUGGGCGUAAAGAGCUCGUAGGCGGCUUGUCGCGUCGGCUGUGAAAACCUGGGGCUCAACCCCGGGCCCUGCAGCCGAUACGGGCAAGCUAGAAUUCGGUAGGGGAGACUGGAAUUCCUGGUGUAGCGGUGAAAUGCGCAGAUAUCAGGAGGAACACCGGUGGCGAAGGCGGGUCUCUGGGCCGAAACUGACGCUGAGGAGCGAAAGCGUGGGGAGCGAACAGG
rnacentral:rRNA from 1 species